rnacentral:rRNA from 1 species
GACGAACGCUGGCGGCGUGCUUAACACAUGCAAGUCGAACGAUGAAGCCAGAGCUUGCUCUGGUGGAUUAGUGGCGAACGGGUGAGUAACACGUGAGUAACCUGCCCUUGACUCUGGGAUAAGCGUUGGAAACGACGUCUAAUACCGGAUACGAGCUAGGACCGCAUGGUCACUAGCUGGAAAGAAUUUCGGUCAGGGAUGGACUCGCGGCCUAUCAGCUCGUUGGUGAGGUAACGGCUCACCAAGGCGACGGCGGGUAGCCGGCCGGAGUGGGUGACGCGCCAGACGGGGACUGAGACACGGCCCAGACUCCUACGGUAGGCAGCAGUGGGUAAUAUUGCACAAUGGGCGCAAGCCUGAUGCAGCAACGCCGCGUGAGGGACGACGGCCUUCGGGUUGUAAACCUCUUUUAGCAGGGAAGAAGCGCAAGUGACGGUACCUGCAGAAAAAGCACCGGCUAACUACGUGCAAGCAGCCGCAGUAAGAC